rnacentral:rRNA from 1 species
GGCGGCGUGCUUAACACAUGCAAGUCGAACGAUGAAGCCCAGCUUGCUGGGUGGAUUAGUGGCGAACGGGUGAGUAACACGUGAGCAACGUGCCCAUAACUCUGGGAUAACCUCCGGAAACGGUGGCUAAUACUGGAUAUCUAACAUGAUCGCAUGGUCUGUGUUUGGAAAGAUUUUUUGGUUAUGGAUCGGCUCACGGCCUAUCAGCUUGUUGGUGAGGUAAUGGCUCACCAAGGCGACGACGGGUAGCCGGCCUGAGAGGGUGACCGGCCACACUGGGACUGAGACACGGCCCAGACUCCUACGGGAGGCAGCAGUGGGGAAUAUUGCACAAUGGGCGGAAGCCUGAUGCAGCAACGCCGCGUGAGGGAUGACGGCCUUCGGGUUGUAAACCUCUUUUAGUAGGGAAGAAGCGAGAGUGACGGUACCUGCAGAAAAAGCACCGGCUAACUACGUGCCAGCAGCCGCGGUAAUACGUAGGGUGCAAGCGUUGUCCGGAAUUAUUGGGCGUAAAGAGCUCGUAGGCGGUUUGUCGCGUCUGCUGUGAAAUCCCGAGGCUCAACCUCGGGUCUGCAGUGGGUACGGGCAGACCUAGAGUGCGGUAGUGGA